rnacentral:rRNA from 1 species
UGCCCAGACUCCUACGGGAGGCAGCAGUCGGGAAUAUUGCGCAAUGGAGGAAACUCUGACGCAGUGACGCCGCGUAUAGGAAGAAGGUUUUCGGAUUGUAAACUAUUGUCGUUAGGGAAGAUAAAAGACAGUACCUAAGGAGGAAGCUCCGGCUAACUACGUGCCAGCAGCCGCGGUAAUACGUAGGGAGCAAGUGUUAUCCGGAUUUAUUGGGUGUAAAGGGUGCGUAGACGGGAAAUUAAGUUAGUUGUGAAAUCCCUCGGCUCAACUGAGGAACUGCAACUAAAACUGAUUUUCUUGAGUGCAGGAGAGGUAAGUGGAAUUCCUAGUGUAGCGGUGAAAUGCGUAGAUAUUAGGAGGAACACCAGUGGCGAAGGCGGCCACCUGGACCGGUAUUGACGCUGAGGCGCGAAAGCGUGGGGAGCAAACAGGAUUAGAUACCCGUGUAC